rnacentral:rRNA from 1 species
AUUGAACGCUGGCGGCAUGCCUUACACAUGCAAGUCGAACGGUAACAGGUCUUCGGAUGCUGACGAGUGGCGAACGGGUGAGUAAUACAUCGGAACGUGCCUAGUAGUGGGGGAUAACUACUCGAAAGAGUGGCUAAUACCGCAUGAGAUCUACGGAUGAAAGCAGGGGAUCGCAAGACCUUGUGCUACUAGAGCGGCCGAUGGCAGAUUAGGUAGUUGGUGGGAUAAAAGCUUACCAAGCCGACGAUCUGUAGCUGGUCUGGGAGGACGAUCAGCCACACUGGGACUGAGACACGGCCCAGACUCCUACGGGAGGCAGCAGUGGGGAAUUUUGGACAAUGGGCGCAAGCCUGAUCCAGCAAUGCCGCGUGCAGGAUGAAGGCCUUCGGGUUGUAAACUGCUUUUGUACGGAACGAAAAGCCCUGGGUUAAUACCCUGGGGUCAUGACGGUACCGUAAGAAUAAGCACCGGCUAACUACGUGCCAGCAGCCGCCGUAAUAC